rnacentral:rRNA from 1 species
GAUGAACGCUAGCGGCAGGCUUAACACAUGCAAGUCGAGGGGCAGCAUGACACGGAGAUUCGUCGAAGUGUUGAUGGCGACCGGCGCAAGGGUGCGUAACGCGUGAGCAACUUGCCCGUUUCUGGGGAAUAACCGGUGGAAACGCCGACUAAUACCCCAUGGCAUCAGGUUUAGGCAUCUAUACCUGAUUAAAGAAUAUCGGAAACGGAUAGGCUCGCGUGACAUUAGCUAGAUGGCGGGGUAACGGCCCACCAUGGCGACGAUGUCUAGGGGUUCUGAGAGGAAGGUCCCCCACACUGGAACUGAGACACGGUCCAGACUCCUACGGGAGGCAGCAGUGAGGAAUAUUGGUCAAUGGUCUGACGACUGAACCAGCCAUGCCGCGUGAAGGUCACGGCCCUAUGGGUCUUAAACUUCUUUUGCGAGGGAGCAAUAAGGUCUACGAGUAGACUGAUGAGAGUACCUCGCGAAUAAGCAUCGGCUAACUCCG